rnacentral:rRNA from 1 species
AACGCUAGCUACAGGCUUAACACAUGCAAGUCGAGGGGCAGCAUGGUCUUAGCUUGCUAAGGCUGAUGGCGACCGGCGCACGGGUGAGUAACACGUAUCCAACCUGCCGUCUACUCUUGGCCAGCCUUCUGAAAGGAAGAUUAAUCCAGGAUGGGAUCAUGAGUUCACAUGUCCGCAUGAUUAAAGGUAUUUUCCGGUAGACGAUGGGGAUGCGUUCCAUUAGAUAGUAGGCGGGGUAACGGCCCACCUAGUCAACGAUGGAUAGGGGUUCUGAGAGGAAGGUCCCCCACAUUGGAACUGAGACACGGUCCAAACUCCUACGGGAGGCAGCAGUGAGGAAUAUUGGUCAAUGGGCGAUGGCCUGAACCAGCCAAGUAGCGUGAAGGAUGACUGCCCUAUGGGUUGUAAACUUCUUUUAUAAAGGAAUAAAGUCGGGUAUGCAUACCCGUUUGCAUGUACUUUAUGAAUAAGGAUCGGCUAACUCCGUGCCAGCAGCCGCGGUAAUACGGAGGAUCCGAGCGUUAUCCGGAUUUAUUGGGUUUAAAGGGAGCGUAGAUGGGCUUUUAAGUCAGUUGUGAAAUUCUGCGGCUCAACCGUAGGACUGCAGUUGAAACUGGGAGCCUUGAGUGCAGUUGAGGUGCAUGGAAUUCGUGGUGUAGCGGUGAAAUGCUUAGAUAUCACGAAGAACUCCGAUUG